rnacentral:rRNA from 1 species
UUAAGCGACUAAGCGUACACGGUGGAUGCCCUGGCAGUCAGAGGCGAUGAAGGACGUGCUAAUCUGCGAUAAGCGUCGGUAAGGUGAUAUGAACCGUUAUAACCGGCGAUUUCCGAAUGGGGAAACCCAGUGUGUUUCGACACACUAUCAUUAACUGAAUCCAUAGGUUAAUGAGGCGAACCGGGGGAACUGAAACAUCUAAGUACCCCGAGGAAAAGAAAUCAACCGAGAUUCCCCCAGUAGCGGCGAGCGAACGGGGAGCAGCCCAGAGCCUGAAUCAGUGUGUGUGUUAGUGGAAGCGUCUGGAAAGGCGCGCGAUACAGGGUGACAGCCCCGUACACAAAAAUGCACAUGCUGUGAGCUCGAUGAGUAGGGCGGGACACGUGGUAUCCUGUCUGAAUAUGGGGGGACCAUCCUCCAAGGCUAAAUACUCCUGACUGACCGAUAGUGAACCAGUACCGUGAGGGAAAGGCGAAAAGAACCCCGGCGAGGGGAGUGAAAAAGAACCUGAAACCGUGUACGUACAAGCAGUGGGAGCACAGAGCAAUCUGUGUGACUGCGUACCUUUUGUAUAAUGGGUCAGCGACUUAUAUUCUGUAGCAAGGUUAACCGAAUAGGGGAGCCGAAGGGAAACCGAGUCUUAACUGGGCGUUAAGUUGCAGGGUAUAGACCCGAAACCCGGUGAUCUAGCCAUGGGCAGGUUGAAGGUUGGGUAACACUAACUGGAGGACCGAACCGACUAAUGUUGAAAAAUUAGCGGAUGACUUGUGGCUGGGGGUGAAAGGCCAAUCAAACCGGGAGAUAGCUGGUUCUCCCCGAAAGCUAUUUAGGUAGCGCCUCGUGAAUUCAUCUCCGGGGGUAGAGCACUGUUUCGGCAAGGGGGUCAUCCCGACUUACCAACCCGAUGCAAACUACGAAUACCGGAGAAUGUUAUCACGGGAGACACACGGCGGGUGCUAACGUCCGUCGUGAAGAGGGAAACAACCCAGACCGCCAGCUAAGGUCCCAAAGUCAUGGUUAAGUGGGAAACGAUGUGGGAAGGCCCAGACAGCCAGGAUGUUGGCUUAGAAGCAGCCAUCAUUUAAAGAAAGCGUAAUAGCUCACUGGUCGAGUCGGCCUGCGCGGAAGAUGUAACGGGGCUAAACCAUGCACCGAAGCUGCGGCAGCGACGCUUAUGCGUUGUUGGGUAGGGGAGCGUUCUGUAAGCCUGCGAAGGUGUGCUGUGAGGCAUGCUGGAGGUAUCAGAAGUGCGAAUGCUGACAUAAGUAACGAUAAAGCGGGUGAAAAGCCCGCUCGCCGGAAGACCAAGGGUUCCUGUCCAACGUUAAUCGGGGCAGGGUGAGUCGACCCCUAAGGCGAGGCCGAAAGGCGUAGUCGAUGGGAAACAGGUUAAUAUUCCUGUACUUGGUGUUACUGCGAAGGGGGGACGGAGAAGGCUAUGUUGGCCGGGCGACGGUUGUCCCGGUUUAAGCGUGUAGGCUGGUUUUCCAGGCAAAUCCGGAAAAUCAAGGCUGAGGCGUGAUGACGAGGCACUACGGUGCUGAAGCAACAAAUGCCCUGCUUCCAGGAAAAGCCUCUAAGCAUCAGGUAACAUCAAAUCGUACCCCAAACCGACACAGGUGGUCAGGUAGAGAAUACCAAGGCGCUUGAGAGAACUCGGGUGAAGGAACUAGGCAAAAUGGUGCCGUAACUUCGGGAGAAGGCACGCUGAUAUGUAGGUGAAGUCCCUCGCGGAUGGAGCUGAAAUCAGUCGAAGAUACCAGCUGGCUGCAACUGUUUAUUAAAAACACAGCACUGUGCAAACACGAAAGUGGACGUAUACGGUGUGACGCCUGCCCGGUGCCGGAAGGUUAAUUGAUGGGGUCAGCGCAAGCGAAGCUCUUGAUCGAAGCCCCGGUAAACGGCGGCCGUAACUAUAACGGUCCUAAGGUAGCGAAAUUCCUUGUCGGGUAAGUUCCGACCUGCACGAAUGGCGUAAUGAUGGCCAGGCUGUCUCCACCCGAGACUCAGUGAAAUUGAACUCGCUGUGAAGAUGCAGUGUACCCGCGGCAAGACGGAAAGACCCCGUGAACCUUUACUAUAGCUUGACACUGAACAUUGAGCCUUGAUGUGUAGGAUAGGUGGGAGGCUUUGAAGUGUGGACGCCAGUCUGCAUGGAGCCGACCUUGAAAUACCACCCUUUAAUGUUUGAUGUUCUAACGUGGACCCGUAAUCCGGGUUGCGGACAGUGUCUGGUGGGUAGUUUGACUGGGGCGGUCUCCUCCUAAAGAGUAACGGAGGAGCACGAAGGUUGGCUAAUCCUGGUCGGACAUCAGGAGGUUAGUGCAAUGGCAUAAGCCAGCUUGACUGCGAGCGUGACGGCGCGAGCAGGUGCGAAAGCAGGUCAUAGUGAUCCGGUGGUUCUGAAUGGAAGGGCCAUCGCUCAACGGAUAAAAGGUACUCCGGGGAUAACAGGCUGAUACCGCCCAAGAGUUCAUAUCGACGGCGGUGUUUGGCACCUCGAUGUCGGCUCAUCACAUCCUGGGGCUGAAGUAGGUCCCAAGGGUAUGGCUGUUCGCCAUUUAAAGUGGUACGCGAGCUGGGUUUAGAACGUCGUGAGACAGUUCGGUCCCUAUCUGCCGUGGGCGCUGGAGAAUUGAGGGGGGCUGCUCCUAGUACGAGAGGACCGGAGUGGACGCAUCACUGGUGUUCGGGUUGUCAUGCCAAUGGCACUGCCCGGUAGCUAAAUGCGGAAGAGAUAAGUGCUGAAAGCAUCUAAGCACGAAACUUGCCCCGAGAUGAGUUCUCCCUGACUCCUUGAGAGUCCUGAAGGAACGUUGAAGACGACGACGUUGAUAGGCCGGGUGUGUAAGCGCAGCGAUGCGUUGAGCUAACCGGUACUAAUGAACCGUGAGGCUUAACCUU